GUCCGUCCCUAAAUAAAACAUUUUCAACACUUGAAAUUAUACUAAAACAAUUAGUCGCCUCAGGCUCGGUGAUUACACGGCCUAUAUUUCACUUUGCGGCUUCGGCUGACUGAAUAUAGGCUUAUAAUCACCACGUCUUCGGCCCCUAAUUGUUAAAUAGUAGCCUUGUAUUUUGAAGUCAAUAAAUAGAUUUGAUAGAUGUUACUGAAUUUCC